UACGGAGGAUCCGAGCGUUAUCCGGAUUUAUUGGGUUUAAAGGGUGCGUAGGUGGAUUGAUAAGUCAGUGGUGAAAGUUUGCAGCUUAACUGUAAAAUUGCCGUUGAAACUGUCGGUCUUGAGUGCAAAUGAGGUAGGCGGAAUGCGUCGUGUAGCGGUGAAAUGCUUAGAUAUGACGCAGAACUCCGAUUGCGAAGGCAGCUUACUGGGAUGCAACUGACAAUGAGGCACGAAAGCGUGGGUAUCAAACAGGAUUAGAUACCCUGGUAGUCCACGCAGUAAACGAUGAAUACUAGCUGUCUGCGAUAUACAGUAGGCGGCACAGCGAAAGCGUUAAGUAUUCCACCUGGGGAGUACGCUCGCAAGAAUGAA
rnacentral:rRNA from 1 species